GACGAACGCUGGCGGCGUGCCUAAUACAUGCAAGUAGAACGCUGAAGGAGGAGCUUGCUCUUCUGGAUGAGUUGCGAACGGGUGAGUAACGCGUAGGUAACCUGCCUGGUAGCGGGGGAUAACUACUGGAAACGAUAGCUAAUACCGCAUAAGAGUAGAUGUCGCAUGACAUUUGCUUAAAAGGUGCAAUUGCAUCACUACCAGAUGGACCUGCGUUGUAUUAGCUAGUUGGUGAGGUAACGGCUCACCAAGGCAACGAUACAUAGCCGACCUGAGAGGGUGAUCGGCCACACUGGGACUGAGACACGGCCCAGACUCCUACGGGAGGCAGCAGUAGGGAAUCUUCGGCAAUGGACGGAAGUCUGACCGAGCAACGCCGCGUGAGUGAAGAAGGUUUUCGGAUCGUAAAGCUCUGUUGUAAGAGAAGAACGAGUGUGAGAGUGGAAAGUUCACACUGUG
rnacentral:rRNA from 1 species